rnacentral:rRNA from 1 species
AACGAACGCUGGCGGCAGGCCUAACACAUGCAAGUCGAGCGAGGACUUCGGUCCUAGCGGCGGACGGGUGAGUAACGCGUGGGAACGUGCCCUUUGGUUCGGAAUAGCCCCGGGAAACUGGGAGUAAUACCGGAUAAGCCCUACGGGGGAAAGAUUUAUCGCCAAAGGAUCGGCCCGCGUCGGAUUAGGUAGUUGGUGGGGUAAUGGCCUACCAAGCCGACGAUCCAUAGCUGGUUUGAGAGGAUGAUCAGCCACACUGGGACUGAGACACGGCCCAGACUCCUACGGGAGGCAGCAGUGGGGAAUCUUAGACAAUGGGGGAAACCCUGAUCUAGCCAUGCCGCGUGAGCGAUGAAGGCCUUAGGGUUGUAAAGCUCUUUCAGUGGGGAAGAUAAUGACUGUACCCACAGAAGAAGCCCCGGCUAACUCCGUGCCAGCAGCCGCAGUAAGAC